rnacentral:rRNA from 1 species
AGCGAACGCUGGCGGCAGGCCUAACACAUGCAAGUCGAACGAACCUUUCGGGGUUAGUGGCGGACGGGUGAGUAACACGUGGGAACGUGCCUUUAGGUUCGGAAUAACUCAGGGAAACUUGUGCUAAUACCGAAUGUGCCCUUCGUGGGAAAGAUUUAUCGCCUUUAGAGCGGCCCGCGUCUGAUUAGCUAGUUGGUUGAGGUAAUGGCUCACCAAGGCGACGAUCAGUAGCUGGUCUGAGAGGAUGAUCAGCCACAUUGGGACUGAGACACGGCCCAAACUCCUACGGGAGGCAGCAGUGGGGAAUCUUGCGCAAUGGGCGAAAGACUGACGCAGCCAUGCCGCGUGAAUGAUGAAGGUCUUAGGAUUGUAAAAUUCUUUCACCGGGGACGAUAAUGACGGUACCCGGAGAAGAAGCCCCGGCUAACUUCGUG